CGUUGAGUAAUUUUUUUCUUUUUUUGAAAAGUUGAUGGUAGGCCAAAUCAGUUUGGGAAGUUUUGAACUAAACUAAAGGAGAAAUCCCCUGGUAAGCAGGUCCCCAGUUACACUAGCUAUCCCUGAGAAGAAGGUGUUGAGUGCCCCACGUAGCACCCAGUGUGAAUGCCUUGCUUCCCAACAAAGAAGACACUUUUAUAACUCUGCUGUUCUAAAUUUUAUGCACCAAGAUAGAGUUCUAAGAUUCCAAAGUGGGGUUUGAACGCAAUUGCAAUAAAUUGCACCAUCUGUUUCCUUAGACCCUCAAUCUGGUAUGCAAAUAUUCAAACCAGGGUAUCAUCAUAUUCAGCUACAGAAACAGCAAACAAACAGCUAGUAGUUUCGUUUUGGGGGUAAGGUUGGAGAGCUCUCAGGUCUUAAGAUACCGGCCCUGCCGCGACUUCCAAACCUCUGCUGCUGUCUCCUGGAACUUCCCUCCAAUCUGAGCCUCCUCAAGUCUGUCCUUGCAGAGUUACAAUACCUUAUUUAACUAUACACAUCAUGGUCCUGGUCAAAUCGGAACAAUUCAAUCCAAGGCUGUCAGUAUAAGGAAACAUCAAGAGAACUAAAAGAAGACCACCACCACAAUCCCUGUGUCAGGGAUUUACAAGAGGAUAUGGACAAGAAUGGCACAAGAUGUAAGGGCCUGGCUGUCUUUCAAACUGUAGCUCUGGUUGGAGUACCCACAUGACAGAGAUCAGAGAUCCAUCAGAAUCCUUACCUGAUUCAUGCAAAAUCACCUAAAGAAGGUUAUCAGCAUCUAUUUUAGAAUCAUGGAAUCUUGAGUUAGAAGUCAAUUUAGACAUCAGCUACUCCAACCCCUUCCUGAAGCAUUUACACUUCCUACAGCAUCUUUGACAAAUGGUCAUUGAUUAAUGGUGAACUCAUGACUGCACAAAGUAGCCCAUUCUAUUUGGGGGCAGUUAUAAUUGUCAGGAAGUUCCUAUAUUGGGCUCAAAUCUGAAUCCCUGUAAUUUCUACUCAUUGGGCAUAGUUCUGCCCUUAAGAACCGUCUGACUAAAUAUAAUCUUUUUGCUGUAUAACCAGCCUUAAAACACUUCAUGGUAGUACUUUAAAUUAGAAGACUUUGACAUUUAAAGAAAAAAAAAGACAGCAUUGGACCUCCCUAAUAUUGUCCAAACGCCUGGUCCUCAGGCCCCUCACGUGAUAGAGACUUGACUUCACAGGAAAAUAAAAAAGGCAGGGAGUCUUACAUUUUGACCACUGUUACCUGAUUUAAACCCUUGAUAAGACAACGGAGAAAUAAAAAUAAUUGAGUGACUUGGCCAAGGAAUGAUAAAGUUUUAGGUGAGGUUAGACCUCUCUGGCUACGGUUCUCAAACUCAGGUAUCGGCUUCUACUUCAACAUUUUGAUCUCAUCAACAACAACUGCCUGUCUUAACGUGGUUAAAUGUGCCCAGGGUGAGGAAUUCUAGAAAAUGUGCUGAGCUAGUACACAAAUCUAGCCACAGCCUGCCUUGGGACACUGAAAUUCCUAGCCACAAUUAUGCAUUAAAA